CUACGCGUGCAGAAGCGGCGAGGGAGCAUCGCGGCGGCGUCAGCGUACGCGCUGGUGGUCGGGCCUUGUAGUACGUGCGACGAUUUCAAGCAGCUCCGGCGAGUGUUUGAGGCUAGCUGGGUCUGGCCUGCUGCCGACGCCGCUGCAAUCGCUGCCUGUGCUACGACGGCGACGCCCCGUCGCUAGCGGCAGAGUUUAGAAGAGGUCAGCCAGCGGCAAGUGCGUCGUCGUUCGUUCGUUUCGAGCGCGCGGUCGCGCCUGUGUGUGUGUUUGUACGCGCGCUUGUGUAGACAGACGGUUGUACGACUUCUGCACCCGCAACGACGUCGCCCGUGCUAUCGUCUGGUCGCCGUCUGGAGCUCGUCGGCGCAGGACGCGCGUGAUCGUCUUGAAGACCUUGGUGAAUCGUAUUGUGAUUUGCGGUCGUGUAGUUGUGGUUCGACGCAUUUCCGUCUGCUUGCAGCGGUCAUCUGGACGUUCUUUCCUGCGACGUGCAAUUCGUUGCCAUCUCUUGGAUACAGUGAAACUGUCGGUCUUUAUGGUCCGAAAAAUAUGGAAAUAUUAGGAAGUCGAGUCAGAAGACGUGUGUGACUUUGUGGAAGUUCGGAACGUCCGUGCGUGUGCGCGUGUGUAGUGGUUGGUUGUCGAGUCACGAUUAAGACAGCUGUGACGCGGAUCGUUCAUUUGUGACGCGUAUGCGUGCUGGACUUCGACGGUCGCUGAACGAAUGACGAAAGACGAACACGUAAUGCUAGUAGCGAAAUGUAUACCUGGUUCCUAUAGGUCUCUGUACAUCCUGGUCGCCGGAGGUGUUUUGAAAGCUGUCUUCUCAGGAUACAUGGCGUCCUACUCUUGACUCGAAGCAUGCCUGCGUAUGCGUAUUGCGGAGUGAUCGCUUGCCGCCGUGUCUGAAGUGAUUAAUUCUUCGGCUUCCGGUUCACUGUCAAGCAAACCCGGAUUGCCAGUGGAACUGAGCUCCGAAACCGAGCCACCUUCAGUGCGGUUUCACCGCCUGUAGUUCGUUACCUUCGUUGCGAAAUAGACCUCUACACGCCGAGACAAGUGCGCGUACGUUGUCUGCGACGCGCUGUUCACUGGCGUGGCCAUCGUUUUUCCCUUAUGUAAACCGACGCUGUAUGGAAUGACUAACGUGUUUACAAACUUUGGUUACGCAUCCGCUCGUCAAACCGCCCUGAGAGAAUCUCUCGCUUAGUACGCGUCGCAGUUCGAAGGGCGUGGUGAAGUUUGUCGGCGCAUUUUAGCGCGUCUUCACAUUCGCAACAGAUUCGACUUUAACGAGUCACUCGCGUCAUAGGCGACGGCCAACGUCGAAGGUCAAGAAACUGUACCCCUUUGUCUUUCCUUAGACACGAUGUCAUAGGCGCAAGUGUUCGGCAGGCAACAGUAGUCUGACAUUUUCGCUUUCCGCGGCUUGGUAUUGAACAGUAUCGCGCUGAUUGUGGGAAAGGUGGAUGGUAACAGUGCGCGGCUGUAGUUCUGUGUCGAACCUUUCGUCGUGUUGAAGUAAAACGUCACCCAAAGGUCGAGGUCGAGGGAGGACGACAAGCUGGGCACCAGCACCGCGAAGGAAUAUGAAGACGCUGAAGCAGUGCAUCUCGGCUCCCUCAGAAGAAAGACCACAGAUGGCGGCGAUCAGAAAAAAACUAGUGAUAGUCGGAGACGGCGCCUGCGGAAAGACUUGUCUUCUGAUCGUCUUCAGCAAGGAUCAGUUUCCCGAGGUCUAUGUGCCCACGGUCUUCGAAAACUACGUCGCCGACAUCGAGGUCGACGGAAAACAGGUUGAGCUGGCCUUAUGGGACACAGCGGGGCAGGAGGACUAUGACCGGUUGCGGCCCCUGUCGUACCCGGACACAGACGUCAUCCUCAUGUGCUUUAGCAUCGACUCCCCGGACUCCCUGGAGAACAUCCCAGAAAAGUGGACGCCAGAGGUGCGCCACUUCUGCCCCAAUGUGCCCAUCAUUCUUGUGGGGAACAAAAAGGACCUACGCAACGACCCGCACACGCUGCGGGAGCUUGCCAAGAUGAAGCAGAAGCCUGUGGCGCCAGAGGAAGGGCGCACCAUGGCGGAGAAGAUCAACGCCUACGGCUACCUGGAGUGCUCUGCCAAGACCAAGGACGGUGUGCGCGAGGUGUUCGAGACUGCAACGAGGGCCGCCCUGCAGGUCAAGAGGCCGAAGAAGACAAAGUGCAUUCUGCUCUAGAGUGAAAACCUUUUCCCGUUCCCGGUGAGAAGCCAGAUGGGGGCUGGAGGAGCUUCUCUCGCUGCAGUGUCUGCGCCGCUUUGUUGUGCGUGCCGCCGCCGCCGCCUCUUCCCCGCUCCAUCUGCACUCUGCACUGUGCGUCAGGUGUCUCUGCCUCUCUUGUCCGUUGUCGUCAACAACCCGAGUCCCAUCUUCUCCUCUCCGUGCGUCGCUGCCAGGCCUCCGAGCCGAGCUGCGAGGGCCGGGCCCAGCUUGCUUCUGCGUUGGCCGUGCAAAGUUGCACGGCGAGGCCGUGGUUUUCCUUGAAUGUUGUUCGAGCUGCUGGCAUUUCGAGGGCUUCAAAGAAAGUGCCGGUCACGCUUCGUCGCCUUGUGCAAAAUAAGAAGAAACUCUUUGCCAGUUUGUGUCGCAUUGAAGGGCAUUUUGUGGUCAUGGGGGUGGAAGCGUGCUUGGGCCGUU
rnacentral:misc_RNA from 1 species